GGCUCAGCCGAAAACAUAAACAAUGUCAUCAUUUACUCAACCUCACGUUCUCCCAAGCCCUUUUUGACUUUCUUUCUUUUGCUCAACACAAAAGGAGAUAUUAGGCAGUUUGUUAAGCCCUGACAGCCUCCGCCACCAUUCACUUUAUUACAUUUUUUGUGUGUAAGUGAAUGAGACUAAAGAAACUCAUUCUGAUUUAAAACAAGAGGGAUUCCUUUUGGCAGUGUUAGGCCUUUUCGACAGUAUUUUCAAUCCCCACAGCGUCUGUCUGGCCGUUUGCAUGUGCUGCUGAAGUGCAAUUGCAGAAAGAAGAUCAUUUGUGCAAAAAUCAACCUAAGAAAUGGUCAAAAUCACAUGCGGUGCGCCGGAGCUGCUCAGCCGUUGUCAUGGAUAACAUGGUGGGCACCCUGUCUCGGUCAGUGGGAUGUCCUGCAGAUUGAGCCAGGCGCCCUGUGGAGCCACGGAGCGGCCUUUAAAAUUGACCCCCCGCAGAGGACCGGGGCCCCUCUUGUCUCGUCUGAGCGCACGCCUGGAGACCGCUUUUAAAUGUGCUUCUGGUGUCCCAGAGAGAGAGGCCGCUGGCACGAAGGGGCGAAAGCUCACCGCAGUGGUCCCUUUUUCUUGGAUAAAUUCAAAGGAGGAAAAUAGCCCACAUUACAAGCUCCUUAAGGGUCAAGGACAGCCGAGACAUGAAUGGUUUGAAAGAGUGGCAUUGUGAAAUCACAUAGCACACGAUUACACCCUCUGUCAUCUUUUUACGGAUUUGCAUUUUUCUUGCACCACAAUGAACAGUUCAGAAUAAGACUUACAAGACAUGUGGAUGAAAUUAAUUAAGACGCUGGAGAAAAAGAGGUGUGAACGACAAAAGCGGUGGUCCUGUUUGGAAUAAACGCCGUUGCUAUUUUAGGAUGAUUUUAAUGAGUGGCAAAACAUUUUUAUUAGUAUUAUAAUCUUUUCUUUUUUUUUUUUGUUUGGAUCCCAUUUGAAAAAUAUUGGACAUUCAAAGAAGGAACAAAAUCCUACGUCGGACGCAAAAUAAGUAAUGAAGGCAUUUGCAACACUUCAUUUCACUGCUAACUGAACUCAAAUGGUCUCACUUUUGGCUAGUAUUUCCCUCCACGCAGCAGGGAUGGCAGUAGAUUGAUGCCCUUACAUUAUUCAUGCAACAAUUAUUCAAAAUUUAGCAAUAACUCAACAGCGUUUUGUCCUUUCUCUCAUCCGUCUCCUCUCUCAGCGUACCUAGGUAUGCUGCUAUUCUUAUGCGACCAUCAUCCAUUGGACAGUGCGGCCCCAGAAAACACCCUUAAACACUCCCCCAUUGUACUGUCACAAGCCUGGAGAGUUCAUGUUAUAUUUAUGUUGCCUACAGCGUAUUCUCUCUGUUCUGUUCUGUUCAGCUGAACUCACGCCAACUCCUCCAGGUCCCCCCUCCACAGACAAUGUUACAUCUCAUUGGCUUUGCCCUAGAUAGGCUAUUUUUGUAUGAAAUAAUUAGACAUAACUGAUUUAAAUACUGCAAAGCCAACACUCUUUUGUCUCGUUAACAAAGUACAGGAAAGGCACAUGCUUGUCAUGUCAUUUCUGUCAAUCCCUACAAAUACGAAUGCGUCCAAAGCUAAUGGAUCUGAAGGUGAGCCAAAAAAUGAAGAACUUUAUUUGAUUCGGAUACGUUCGGGACUGAGCUACAGUGACCUGACCUGAUAGAAUCUAUUAUGAAAGCAAAAAAAGCACUGCCAGGAGCUUUUAAUUGUCUCAACGUGUAUAUCAGCAAAAUAUAGGAUUGCUAAAAUAUGCCGGCGUACAGCACUAAUUGUCCAUAUAAGGACAGCGCGGCGCUUAAAACAGCACGUUUUGUUUGUUACACUGACCCCGGACCCAGACAGCCGUGCUGAUGCCGAGUGCACACGGGCACACAAGGGAGAGGUGGAGAGCAGGAACGCAGAUUGGGGCUGACCGCUCGGCUGCACUUUAAUGUACCCUCUACUUCAUCAGUCCUGAUUAGCCACCAUAAAAAUCCAGAUUGAACAUUACAGUUUUACUGCUGAUUGUCUUCCAAACACUCUCAGGUGUUGGCGUGUUAAAUGCCAGGGUGUGCAUCUGUCCUCGCGUCCCAUUAGCCUGCUGCAGUGAGACGUCUGACUUGAAAAAGGGGGACCCUCUUCAGAAACGAAAGCAAUGCAGAACAAAUUUCAGGCUUUUAGGCUUACUGCAUCUUGUGCCAAAACCUCAAUAACAAGCCCCCCUCCAAGCCCCCAUUUCUCUGGCUCUUGCCCCAGACUUACACAAAGAAACACCAGCUUUAUGGACUUAGGGCAUUAAGGCAUAAAAAACAGCGGACGGAGAACAGGUUCGUGACACAUGGCGCCAAACGCAGGACCUGAUCUUGUCAGAUCUCGCACAGGCCGUACAGUUUAACGCUCCAAUUCGUAGGUGCGCCGACUUGUUUUCAAAAGGCCACAUGAAAGGGCUUAGCGAGAGAGAUGAGCAUUUGCGGCGAGGAGGCCGGCGCUCCAGCAAAAACGCUUUUCUGAUGAGCUGCAACAAUGCACUCACUCCCACGACAUCAGCUCUCUGUUGGGAGUCUCCUCCUAAUUUCCUCCAUCCAUAAUAAAAAGAGCUACAUUAAACAGUGCCAUUAGUGCCAGCAAUUUGUUUUAUUCUCCACAGAAAGAGAAAUGUUAUCUGUGGCGGACAAACUUAACCCAAUUAAAGCUCAUUGUGUAUGGGGGCCUUGCUGGGUCUUCAGCUGAUGCCUAGGAACGAGGGCAGAGGAAGCCAACUUUGGGGAGGGAGAGGGGGGAAAAAGAAUGUUUGGAACAUGUCUGGAGAAUUAGGGAAACUAGGAGAGAGACAAAUGUGCUUUCAGGAAAAUAGACGGGAAGAGAAAUUAUGUUUUCCUGCAUUUUCCCCCCACAUCAAAUCCCUCCCAAGAUGGUUUGAUAGAGGAAUGGUGUGCGAAAUGUACACUUGAAACUAAAAAUGAACAGUUAUUUUGCCUUUUAAAUAAACAGCCAAAGGAUUAAAGCGUAAACGGCAUAUACGUUUUUGGGGGGCCACCCUCCCAAAUAUUUGAUGCUGAUGAUACUCGGUCCAUCCUUAGAAUGACCAACUUUUAAAUAUACGUUCUGUCGAUCUUGCAGCCCUUAUCAAUAUUAAAACUACUGAAAUGGCCAAUCAAAACAAAGAAGGCUGAGCUUUCACCAAGACCAACAUAAAUUAAGUUUGAGAAAUAGCAGGUCUCAGUAUUUUUGUUGAUACUAGUCUGAUUAUUAAUAAUGCAAAAUUGCCUGUCUCAAUAUUUGAGUCAGAUUGUUGUUAGAAUGACCCAGUUUAAAAAGUUUUGUCAAAAAAACUGAAAUGGUCAAUCAACUCAAAUGCAGACCUUUGCAAUCCACAGAAACCAAACAUGAACUACAGCUCAAGCCUUUAGUUUUUAAUAGCGAAAGAGUGUGAAGUAA